UACGUAGGGGGCGAGCGUUGUCCGGAGUUACUGGGCGUAAAGCGUACGUAGGCGGUUAUUCAAGUCAGAGGUGAAAGCCCGGGGGCUCAACCCCGGAACUGCCUUUGAAACUAGAUAGCUAGAAUCUUGGAGAGGUCAGUGGAAUUCCGAGUGUAGAGGUGAAAAUUCGUAGAUAUUCGGAAGAACACCAGUGGCGAAGGCGACUGACUGGACAAGUAUUGACGCUGAGGUACGAAAGCGUGGGGAGCAAAAGGGAUUAGAAAACCCCA
rnacentral:rRNA from 1 species